CCUACGGGCGGCAGCAGUGGGGAAUAUUGGACAAUGGGCGAAAGCCUGAUCCAGCCAUGCCGCGUGUGUGAAGAAGGCCUUCGGGUUGUAAAGCACUUUCAGUGGGGAAGGAAGCCUUGGGGCUAAUACCCUCGAGGAAGGACAUCACCCACAGAAGAAGCACCGGCUAAGUCCGUGCCAGCAGCCGCGGUAAUACGGAGGGUGCGAGCGUUAAUCGGAAUUACUGGGCGUAAAGCGCGCGUAGGCGGUCUGAUAAGCCGGUUGUGAAAGCCCCGGGCUCAACCUGGGAACGGCAUCCGGAACUGUCAGGCUAGAGUGCAGGAGAGGAAGGUAGAAUUCCCGGUGUAGCGGUGAAAUGCGUAGAGAUCGGGAGGAAUACCAGUGGCGAAGGCGGCCUUCUGGACUGACACUGACGCUGAGGUGCGAAAGCGUGGGUAGCAAACAGGAUUAGAUACCCGAGUAGUC
rnacentral:rRNA from 1 species